rnacentral:rRNA from 1 species
CCUACGGGAGGCAGCAGUGGGGAAUAUUGGACAAUGGGCGAAAGCCUGAUCCAGCCAUGCCGCGUGUGUGAAGAAGGCCUUCGGGUUGUAAAGCACUUUCAGUGGGGAAGAAAGCCUUGGGGCUAAUACCCUCGAGGAAGGACAUCACCCACAGCAGAAGCACAGGCUAACUCCGUGCCAGCAGCCGCGGUAAUACGGAGGGUGCGAGCGUUAAUCGGAAUUACUGGGCGUAAAGCGCGCGUAGGCGGUCUGAUAAGCCGGUUGUGAAAGCCCCGGGCCCAACCUGGGAACGGCAUCCGGAACUGUCAGGCUAGAGUGCAGGAGAGGAAGGUAGAAUUCCCGGUGUAGCGGUGAAAUGCGUAGAGAUCGGGAGGAAUACCAGUGGCGAAGGCGGCCUUCUGGACUGACACUGACGCUGAGGUGCGAAAGCGUGGGUAGCAAACAGGAUUAGAUACCCGGGUAGUC